rnacentral:rRNA from 1 species
UAGUAAUAAUCAGGCAAAGGGAACUUUAGUCGGAUGCCCCGAAACUAAGUGAGCUACUCCAAGACAGCCUAUUAAUAGGGCACACCCGUCUCUGUGGCAAAAGAGUGGGAAGAGCUUCGAGUAGAGGUGAUAGACCUACCAAACUUAGUUAUAGCUGGUUGUCUGGGAAUUGGAUAGGAGUUCAGCCUCCCGGCUUCUUAUUUCAUCUCCGUCUUUGCACCUGCAGAUCUUAAAGAAACCGCGAGAGUUAGCCAAAGGGGGUACAGCCCCUUUGAAACAAGACACAACUUUUCCAGGAGGGUAAAGAUCAUAAUAACAAAAGUAAAAUGUUUUGGUGG